GGAGUCCUGUGAUGAAACACAAAGAGGCUCAAAGCUGCGUGAAGCCGGAUCAGGACCAAACUGAGAGCGGUUCUGUAGAGUCUGCAUGAGUCCUGAUCUCUAAGUGAUUAAUAACUAAUCAAACGUUCCUCACAGUAACGUCUGAUGAACACGAUCCCUUAUGGAGGGAACCAGCAUGCUGAGUCCUCACGUGAUCUGGUCUCCACUAAAGGCUCAAACCUGCAGAGCUGCUGCUGUUCUCACACGUUCUCACCACAACGCUUCCUCUUCACUUCUGAGGAAACAACCACCAGAUGCAAAGAGGAAGAAACUCAUCCUCAGAGCUCCGACACGUCGUCUCUAUGAGCACGACGAGGAAGUGACGCUGUGCAACCAGAGGAAGCAGAAGCUGCAUCUGUGAGGAAGAAGCACUCGGUCAGACGCCUUGAGGAGCAGAGACACCAUGGUGGAACUCAGAGGGACUCAAAGGACUUUAUGUGUGAUGCUGCUGCUGCUUCAGGCUGCAGUAAGAGGACAAACCCCCCCUGUCCCCCGCUUCCUCGUCAGAGCCGGAGAUGACGUCACUUUGCCUUCUAAUCAGGACAGAUGUAACGGAUCUACUUGGCUUCACAGUCGUAGUGAUCCAGCUGUGGAGCUGGUUACACUUGGGAAGAUUAAGAAUAACGCUUUGAUUCCAGAAGCUAAAACCAACAGACUGAGUUUGACAGCAAACUGUUCUCUGGUUAUAAGAAACGUCUCAGGUGAAGGUGUUGGUCGUUACACCAACAGACAUUAUGAUGAAGGAGGAAAACAUCAAGGUCCAGAUGGUGUGGUCUCUCUGUACGUGUUUACAAUGGAGGAAAAGGACUACGGGGGUCUGGUUGUGUUGUCCUGCUUUGUGUUGAGAUUCUCUGAGUGUGAACACACAGUAAAGUGGCAUUAUGACGGCAAACAGACUGAUGUGACGACAUCACACGUUGCUUGUGAAGCCAAUGUGACGUUUAAAGCUCCUCUUCAUCAGAAGUCAAAGUAUUAUAAGUCACUGAGAUGUGAAGUGAGAGACACUCGGAGUGGAAAAACUCUGCUGUUUGAAGCCUGCAGUCAGUUCUCAUGUGAACAAACAGUAAGAGGACAAACCCCCCCUGACCCCCGCUUCCUCGUCAGAGCCGGAGAUGACGUCACUUUGCCUUCUAACCAUGUGGAUCAGGACAGAUGUGACGGUUCUACUUGGCUUUACAAUCGUACUGAUUCAUCUGUGGAGCUGGUUACACUUGGGAAGAUUAAUAAUAACGCUUUGAUUCCAGAAGCUAAAAGCAACAAACUGAGUUUGACAGCAAACUGUUCUCUGGUUAUAAGAAGCGUCUCAGGUGAAGAUGUUGGUCGUUACACCAACAGAGAUUUUAAUGAAGCAGGAAAACAACAAGGUCCAGAUGGUGUGGUCUUUCUGUACGUGUUUACAAUGGAGGAAAAGGACUACGAGGGUCUGGUUGAGUUGUCCUGCUUAGUCACUUACUGUGAACACACAGUAAAGUGGCUUUAUGACGGCAAACAGACUGAUGUGACGACAUCACACGCUGCUUGUGAAGCCACUGUGACGUUUAAAGCUCCUCUUCAUCAGAAGUCAAAGUAUUAUAAGUCACUGAGAUGUGAAGUGAGAGACGAUCAGAGUGGAAAAACUCCGCUGUUUGAAGCCUGCAGUCAGUUCUCAUGUGAACAAACAGGAGGCCCACCGGGGGAGGGAAACAUUACACCACCUGCACCACCAGUCUGGUGGCCGUGGCUCGUCAUCCCGCUGGUGGGUUUAUUGGUCCUCUUCAUCAUCCUCGUGGUCUUCAUCAGAUGGAGAAAUCAAGGUGAGAAGUUACACAUCCUCAUCAGAUGCUUUUAUCUGCUGAAACUAAAGUCGACUCUUUUUCAUCUCUUCAGGGAAAAGAACACAGACGGACGAAAACAUCGCCGACCCCGAGGAAGGCGUAGCCUACGCCUCCGUCAGCUACACCAGGACGGCCGGCGGAGGAGCCCGGGUGAGCUCUCUGAUUGGCUGCACCGAUGAGGAAGUGUUUGAGCUAAUUGCAUCACCAUGCUAACCACAACCACGAUGCUAACGUGCUCACAAUGCUACAUGCUGGUGCAAAGCAAAUGUAGUUCCGCACACAAAUACAAACACACACACACACACAAACACACACACACACACGUCAUUCCCCUGGUGGAGAGUUUAGGCAUUGGGCACAAAUUAGAGCUGCGGCUGAUGGGAAGUAUUUAAAUCUAUUUAUCUUUGCUUUACUUUGUGUUCUUUGCUUCGUGGUCUUUGUGUGUGUUUGUUGACGUGUUGAAUCAAGUCGUCAUCAUGUGAUCGUUUCCAGGCUCGGGUCAAAGAUGGCGACGAUGGCGACGAUGUGGUGACUUACUGCACUGUGAAAGCUCCGCCUCCUGCUUCUUCUUCUAGUGCCGGAGCCUCCGUUGAUCCCAGUGACCUCUACGCGGUCGUCAACACACCCAACAAAUAAGAGGCUACGUUGAUGAUUGUAAACCAAGUCAAGCUUUCUUCAUCACGUUCACUCACUGCUGAGAUGAAUUGAGCCAUUUAGCAAAAUGUUUAGAGCAUUUUAUAUUCAUUGAUGUUUUAUUUGAAUAACCUGAAUGUUCCCACCAGAUAAAUCAGAUUAUUAUUGGAAAAUAUAAAUAUGAUAAUACUGAAACCUAGUUUUGCAUUUAAAGUGAGCUUUUGACCACGUUUUUUUACAUUAUGAUAAUUUGUAGGAUUUAGUUCUUUUGAUUUAUAUCCAUCCAGAUGAGGGUGUAAGUGAACUAUAGAACAAUGUGCAACAUUCAUUAGAAAAUUAGUAUGUAAUAUAUGAUGUAUUUUCAGGCUCAGUGAUGUUUACCGUUUAUACGUAAACUUAAAGUGAGCACAGGUUUCAUGAUCUGAUUUUUAUCAUGUAUGUGUAGUGAUGGUUUGAUUAUUGCUCUCGUAAGUAUUUUCUCUUUAAGGUGUCCUCAUAAAAUAAUUAUUAACAUAUAAUGUAUGAGGGUUCAUAGUCCGGGUUAAUUGUUUUUAUUAUAUAUUCCUGUAAUAGUUUCACCUUGUGGAUGUUCAGUUUGCUUUGAACUAAAUAAAAGAAGACAGAAAGGAAGUGUGUGGAGAUCAGGGUCGUCCUUCAACCAUCAGAUCGGAGGUCAGAUCAUCGGCUCCGCAUGUGUCCACGUGUCCUUAGAGACACUUAAACCUGAACGUCAUCAGGGUGUGAAUGAUGUCAGAGAAUAGAACACUAGAAAAGUAAAGUGAGG
ensembl:lncRNA